rnacentral:rRNA from 1 species
GUAGGGAAUAUUGGGCAAUGGAUGCAAGUCUGACCCAGCCAUCCCGCGUGCCGGAAGAAGGCCCUCAGGGUUGUAAACGGCUUUUGACGGUGAAGAAUCGACAGGAUGCGUCCUGUUUUGACGGUAGCCGUUGAAUAAGCACCGGCUAACUCCGUGCCAGCAGCCGCGGUAAUACGGAGGGUGCGAGCGUUGUCCGGAUUUAUUGGGUUUAAAGGGUGCGUAGGCUGGAAGGUCAGUCAGCGGUGAAAAGCUGUCGCUUACCGAUAGUCUUGCCGCAGAUACUUCCGUUCUUAGAUGAGGAGGAGGCCACUGGAACGGAUGGUGUAGCGGUGAAAUGCAUAGAUAUCAUCCAGAACACCGAUUGCGAAGGCAGGUGGCUGUACCUUAAUCGACGCUGAUGCACGAAAGCAUGGGGAGCAAACAGGAUUAGAAACCCUUGUAGUCC